UUAGAUCCAAGUACUCUAAGUCUUUUCUUAGAGUCUCUUCCAAAGUUUUCCUAGGUCUUCCUCUACCCCUUCGGCCCUGAACCUCUGUCCCGUAGUCACAUCUUCGAACCGGAGCGUCAUUCGGCCUUCUUUGCACAUGUCCAAAUCACCGGAGCCGAUUUUCUCUCAUCUUUCCUACAAUUUCGGCUACUCCUACUUUACCUCGGAUAUCCUCAUUCCCAAUCUUAUCCUUUCUCGUGUGCCCACACAUCCCACGAAGCAUCCUCAUCUCCGCUACACCCAUUUUGUGUGUACGUGUUGAUGCUUCACCGCCCAACAUUCUGUGCCAUACAACAUCGCUGGCCUUAUUGCCGUCCUAUAAAAAUUUUCCCUUGAGCUUCAGUGGCCUACGACGGUCACACAACACGCCGGAUGCAUUCUAACACUUCAUCCAUCCAGCUCGUAUUCUAUGGUUGAGAUCUCCAUCUAAUUCUCCGUUCUCUUGCAAGAUAGAUCCUAGGUAGCGAAAAACGGUCGCUUUUUGUGUGAUCUUCGCUAGAUUGCUCCGGUCAUUAGUGUGGAUAAGUAUAUAAAUGGAUAGAGAUAGGAAAGCAAACACAAGAUGUACGUGGUUCACCCAUAUUGGCUACGUCCACGGAAUAGAAGAGUUCUUAUUAAUUGUGAAGGGUUUACACAAGUACAUAGGUUCAAGCUCUCCUUUAGUGAGUACAAGUGAAUGAUUUAGUACAAAUGACAUUAAGAAAUAUUGUGGGAGAAUGAUCUCGUAAUCACGAAACUUCUAAGUAUCGGAGUGUGGAGUCGUCUUGACUUGCCUUAUCUGUCUCAUAGGUAGAUGUGGCAUCUUCUCUGGAAGUACUCUUCCUCCAUCCAGGGGUGGUAUCUUUAACUGGUGGAGAUGCACAAGGUAAUGUAUCAAUUUCACUUGAAGCUUACUUGUAGUUUCAGGCUUGGUCAAGCGCGAUACAAACCAUGUAGUAGGAGUCCCCCAAGUCGCCGAGCUAGGGGGUCUGCUGAAAGAGGUGACAGACAAGGUAAGCAAUCAGAGCUCCGACUGAUUGUUCACCUUCUCCCCAUCUUGCAGCAGCAUGAAGGAUAAAGAGAAGAAAAAUGAGAAGAGAUGAUAUGAGAUACUUUUGCUUUUGAAGAAGUAACUUUCCACAGGCUUAUUAUUCUUGAACUGAGCUGGAGGGUUUUCUGGUUUCCUCCAGAGUAUAAGGCCGACUGAAGAAUUUGAGGGUCAAAACAAGUCCAUCAAAUCUAGAGUACGUUCCACCCUGCUGAUAUGGGAUACUUUUGCUUUUGACAGAGUAAUGGAUGUAUCGGCACGUGUGCUGUUACGCUUGUCUCCACAUGCUUCCUUGUAUCCUUCGCACUUGCCCUAUCUGUUCCUCAAGCAGAUGCAGAAUCUUCCCUGGAAACAUAAGAUGUUGAAGAUGAGUACUCGAGAGCAAUGCCAGGUAAGUAAUCAGGUAAGGGGUUCCAGGCAGUCAGUUCUUGGCUGGAAGCUUGAUUCCAAGUGCUGAAUGAUUGCUCUCUUUCUCCUUGUCUUGCAGGUAAAAACAAGGCCAAAGGAAAAGACAGGGAAAAAGCAUGAUAUGGGAUACUCUUGCUUUUAACCCUGAUGAUAUGAGAUAUUCUUGCUCUAGUAUAGCUUGUUUGCAGAGGUAUUAUCGGGGGGAAAGAAAGCUGAAUAUUUCGAAAGGCUUCGUUGGGAGUGCCCUCUCAGAUAUGAUGAAGGGUUGAGCAUUUUUGCAGGUCUGCCUGUCCGUUGGGGAUGGAGGUUGACAUAUAUAGGAGUCUCCCUAACAAGUAGUAAUGCUAUUCCUUUACCCUGCUUGGUCAUAGCACGGUAGUGGGAGCUGUCAGUUUCACAUGUUUUAACUCUGUCAGAGCACUUUGAAAAAGUGGUCUGUGGUAUCUGGCUCUCGAGAUUCGGAGAACGAUGCCUCUUCGAUUUUUGAGAAAGCAAUCAUGCUGGGGGUCUGGCUCUCGAGAUUCGGAGAGCAGUGUCUCUUCGAUUUUUGAGGAAGUAAUCAUGUUGGGAGUCUGGCUCUCGAGAUUCGGAGGGCGGUGCCUCUUCGAUUUUGGAGCAAGUAAUCUUGUUGGGAGUGUUGUCUCGAAUGUGAGUAAAGGUUGGGCAUGUUUGCUAGUCUACCUUGCCACGAAGCACAAAGGUUGAUACACAGGGACUUUCCAAUUAUCCAGCAAUGGUACUGUUCCUUUACCCUCUCUUCGAUUUUGAGAAAGUAGUCAUGUUGGGAGUCUGGCUCUCGAGAUUCGGAGGACGGUGCCUCUUCGAUUUUGGAGCAAGCAAUCUUGUUGGGAGUGUUUUCUCGAAUGUGAGUAAAGGUUGGGCAUGUUUGCUAGUCUACCUUGCCACGAAGCACAGAGGUUGACACACAGGGAGUUUCCAAUUAUCCAGCAGUGGUACUGUUCCUUUACCCUUGUGGGUAAUAAUAUGGUAGCUAGACCUUCAAAAUUUAUGUGUCUAAACUUUGUUAGUGUUGUUUCUUUGCUAUUCUUUUACCUUUCUUGGUCAGAGCGAUGUAGUGGGAGCUGCAAGCUUCACGUGCUCAACUUUGGCAGAGAACUUUGGCAAAGUUAUCUGUGGUACCCAUGAGCUAUUAUUGCGUGUGGGAAGUGGGUGAUUGAACAGUAAGAUUCAUGUGCUUUCUACUUCACCAGAAGUCUUCGACAGAAUGCCCAUAAUUUCUGCAAAGCUGAGUGUGCGUGUGACAGGUGCUGACAAGGCUAGAAAAGUAGGUGCCUCUUCGAUUUCUGAGAUCGGCCCUCGUGGUCUCUGAGCAGCCCAGCUUUUGAGAAAGCGAGAGCGCCUCUUCGAUUGAUUCGAAGAACGAUGCCUCAUCGAUUUUUGAGAAAGCAGUCACGCUGGGGGUCUGGCUCUCGAAGAUUCGGGGAGCAGUGUCUCUUCGAUUUUUUCGAAAGUAAUCAUGUUGGGAGUCUGGCUCUCGAGAUUCGGAGGGCGGUGCCUCUUCGAUUUUGGAGCAAGCAAUCUUGUUGGGAGUGUUUUCUCGAAUGUGAGUAAAGGUUGGGCAUGUUUGCUAGUCUACCUUGCCACGAAGCACAGAGGUUGACACACACAGGGACUUUCCAAUUAUCCAGCAAUGGUACUGUUCCUUUACCCUCUCUUCGAUUUUUAAGAAAGUAGUCAUGUUGGGAGUCUGGCUCUCGAGAUUCGGAGGACGGUGCCUCUUCGAUUUUGGAGCAAGCAAUCUUAUUGGGAGUGUUUUCUCGAAUGUGAGUAAAGGUUGGGCAUGUUUGCUAGUCUACCUUGCCACGAAGCACAGAGGUUGACACACAGGGACUGUCCAAUUAUCCAGCAGUGGUACUGUUCCUUUACCCUUGUGGGUAAUAAUAUGGUAGCUAGACCUUCAAAAUUUAUGGGUCUAAACUUUGUUAGUGCUGUUUCUUUGCUAUUCUUUUACCCUUCUUGGUCAGAGCGAUGUAGUGGGAGCUGCAAGCUUCACGUGCUCGACUUUGGCAGAGAACUUUGGCAAAGUUUUCUGUGGUACCCAUGAGCUAUUGUUGCGUGUGGGAAGUGGGUGAUUGAACAGUAAGAUUCAUGUGUUUUUCUACUUCCCCAGAAGUCUUCGACAGAAUGCCCAUAAUUUCCGCAAAGCUGAGUGUGCGCGUGACAGGUGCUGACAAGGCUGGAAAAGUAGGUGCCUCUUCGAUUUCUGAGAUCGGCCCUCGUGGUCUCUGGGGAGCCCAGCUUUUGAGAAAGCGAGCGCCUCUUCAAUUUCUGAGACCAGCCUUCGUGGUCUUUGAGCAGCCCAACUUUUGAGAAAGCAAACGCCUCUUAGAUUUCUGAGAUCAACCCUCGUGAUCUCUAAGCAGCCCAGCUUUUGAGAAAGCAAACGCCUCUUCGAUUUCUGAGCAGGCGCCUCUUCGAUUUCUGAAGCUCCGUCGAGUGCAGAUUUUUAUAAGGGCUGACAUUAAGUUCCAAAACACACUUGAAUCUCCACCAGUAGAAGCUUCAUUCUUGCACUUCUAAGAUCUUGAUUUGUCCGACCUCUUCUCUCUUCAACACCUUUGAAAAAUGUUUGGCCCCUCCGACCGUCGUUUUGACUUGAACCUUGUUGAAGAGGCAGCCCCGCCUUCUCCAGACAACAUAUGGCGCCCAUCCUUCGUCUCCCCUACUGGUCCUCUUACCGUUGGGGAUUCCGUGAUGAAGAAUGAUAUGACCGCUGCGGUGGUGGCCAGGAACCUUCUCACUCCCAAAGAUAACAGACUACUUUUCCAAACGGUCUGAUGAGUUAGCUGUUAAGGAUUCGCUGGCUCUCAGUGUUCAGUGUGCAGGUUCUGUGUCUAAUAUGGCCCAACGCCUAUUUGCUCGAACCCGCCAAGUUGAAUCAUUGGCGGCUGAAGUGAUGAGUCUCAAACAGGAGAUUAGAGGGCUCAAGCAUGAGAAUAAACAGUUGCACCGGCUCGCACAUGACUAUGCUACAAACAUGAAGAGGAAGCUUGACCAGAUGAAGGAAACUGAUGGUCAGGUUUUACUUGAUCAUCAGAGAUUUGUAGGUUUGUUCCAAAGGCAUUUAUUGCCUUCGUCUUCUGGGGCUGUACCGCGUAAUGAAGCUCCAAAUGAUCAACCUCUGAUGCCUCCUCCUAGGGUUCUGUCCAGUACUGAGGCUCCAAAUGAUCCCCUCCGGUGCCUUCUCUUUCUGGGGCUCUACCGACUGCUGAGACUUCUCCUAAGCAACCUUUGUGAAGGCUCCUUCUUGGGUGUUUAUUUUGACUCAUGUAUAUGUACAUAUUUGUAGCUUAUCGGGGAUAUCAAUAAAUAAGUUUUCCUUCAUUUCAACGUAUUGUGUUAAAUACACCAAAGCCUUCUUCGCUAAGUUCUUUGAAUUUUCUUUUGUUGAAGCUUGUAUGUUGAAGCUUUCUGAGUGGAGCAUGUAGGUUGGGGUAGUGUUCCCUUUAAUUUUCCGAGUGAGGAAAACUUCUCUCGGUUGGAGACUUGGAAAAUCCAAGUCACUGAGUGGGAUCGGCUAUAUGAAUCUUAGAACGCCAUUGUGCUCGAUCCUGUGUCAUGUCCUUCGUUAGAUCCAAGUACUCUAAGUCUUUUCUUAGAGUCUCUUCCAAAGUUUUCAUAGGUCUUCCUCUACCCCUUCGGCCCUGAACCUCUGUCCCAUCGUCGCAUCUUCUAAUCGGAGCGUCAGUAGGCCUUCUUUGCACAUGUCCAAACCACCGUAACCGAUUUUCUCUCAUCUUUCCUUCAAUUUCGGCUACUCCUACUUUACCCCGGAUAUCCUCAUUCCUAAUCUUAUCCUUUCUUGUGUGCCCACACAUCCAACGAAGCAUCCUCAUCUCCGCUACACCCAUUUUGUGUACGUGUUGAUGUUUCACCGCCCAACAUUCUGUGCCAUACAGCAUCGCCGGCCUUAUUGCCGUCCUAUAAAAUUUUCCCUUAAGCUUCAGUGGCAUACGGCGGUCACAUAACACGCCGGAUGCACUCUUCCACUUCAUCCAUCCAGCUUGUAUUCUAUGGUUGAGAUCUCCAUCUAAUUCUCCGUUCUUUUGCAAGAUAGAUCCUAGGUAACGAAAACGGUCGCUCUUUGGUAUUUCUUGAUCUCCGAUUCUCACCCCUAACUCGUUUUGGCCUCCAUUUGCACUGAACUUGCACUCCAUAUAUUCUGUCUUUGAUCGGCUUAGGCGAAGACCUUUAGAUUCCAACACUUCUCUCCAAAGGUUAAGCUUUGCAUUUACCCCUUCCUGAGUUUCAUCUAUCAACACUAUAUCGUCUGCGAAAAGCAUACACCAAGGAAUAUCAUCUUGAAUAUGUCUUGUUAACUCAUCCAUUACCAACGCAAAAAGGUAAGGACUUAAGGAUGAGCCUUGAUGUAAUCCUACAGUUAUGGGAAAGCUUUCGGUUUGUCCUUCAUGAGUUCUUACGGCAGUCUUUGC
rnacentral:lncRNA from 1 species